GAUGAACGCUGGCGGCGUGCCUAAUACAUGCAAGUCGAGCGAAGCGGGGGACGGGUGAGUAAUGCCUAGGAAUCUCCCUGGUAUUGGGGGAUAACGUCCGUAAACGGGCGCUAAUACCGCAUACUAUCAGAUGAGCCUCGGUCGGUUUAGCUAGUUGGUGGGGUAAAGGCCUACCAAGGAGACGAUCCGUAACUGGUCUGAGAGGAUGAUCAGUCACACUGGAACUGGGACACGGUCCAGACUCCGACGGGAGGCAGCAGUGGGGAAUAUUGGACAAUGGGCGAAAGCCUGAUCCAGCCAUGCCGCGUGUGUGAAGAAGGUCUUCGGAUUGUAAAGCACUUUAAGUUGGGAGGCGUUACUCGCAGAAGAAGCACCGGCUAACUCCGUGCCAGCAGCCGCGGUAAUUC
rnacentral:rRNA from 1 species